UUUCUGGCCACAUAUGUUGUGUCAAGGGGGAUCGGGACUAGAUGGUGGGAAGGUCUUCGCCAUGCCGGGACCUGUUGGCUCCGGGCUCCGAACCAAUCAGUGGGUUGGUAUGCCUCUGCCACAGUGGCUUUUCACAUGGGAGCGGUGCUGUAUUUGUGCUCAAUUGGUGCAGAAUUUUGGGAGGUUGGAAAGUUUUUGGGAUUGAUCAUGUCUACGAGGACAGUUCUACGGAGUUCUUCCCAACACCUUCCACACUGAAGCGCUCCAUGGAUAAUUCUCCUCGUCGUCCCUCAUUCUGAACUGUGCAAAGUUUCAGGGUUGCGUUGACGUUUUGCGCGGGAACCGACGAAACCGCAGUUCUUCAACAUCUUCGUUCCAGUGCAAUUGCACACGAUUUUUAAUAAACUACAUCUCCUUACUUC
rnacentral:lncRNA from 1 species